rnacentral:antisense_RNA from 1 species
CUUGAGCGAGCCGAGCCAGAGCGGGCGCUCGGCCGGCCGGCCGGCGCCGUAGGUGGCGAGCAGCGCCUGCGCCUC